UCGAGAAUUUUUCACAAUGGGCGCAAGCCUGAUGGAGCGACGCCGCGUGGGGGAUGAAUGGCUUCGGUCCGUAAACCCCUGUCAUUCGGGAACAAUGCCUGUCCAAUAACACUGGGCAGGUUGAUAGUACUGGAAGAGGAAGGGACGGCUAACUCUGUGCCAGCAGCCGCGGUAAUACAGAGGUCCCAAGCGUUGUUCGGAUUCACUGGGCGUAAAGGGUGCGUAGGUGGCUAGGUAAGUCUGAUGUGAAAUCUCGAAGCCUAACUUCGAAACUGCAUCGGAUACUAUCUGGCUGGAGGUCUGGAGGGGGGACUGGAAUUCUCGGUGUAGCAGUGAAAUGCGUAGAUAUCGAGAGGAACGCCAAUGGCGAAGGCUAGUCCCUGGACAGAUCCUGACACUG
rnacentral:rRNA from 1 species